UUAAAAAUUUAGUUAAAUACAUAACAUUAGCUUGUCAAGCUAAAAUUAUUAAUAAUUAAUAAUUUUUAA
rnacentral:tRNA from 1 species